GCCCGCCUAGCUCAAUCGGAUAGAGCGUCAGACUCUUACUCCGUACCCCUAGUAUUUCACUCGAAAUACUCAGGCACCGGCAGGCGUAUCUGAAGGCUGCGAGUUCGACCCUCGCGGUGGGCU